rnacentral:lncRNA from 1 species
CUGAACAGCAGAGGGCGGUGCAAUCGACCUCACAAAAAAGAGUUUCACAGACUGGAGCCCCCCAGAAAUGGGCCACUGACCCCAGUAUAAUAUAAAACUUUCUCGGUGAACUCAACGAAUCAUAAAAUAUGCUAACUGUUCAGUGUUGGGCCCAUGUGGCUGUUUUCCAUGACCUCUACUCUAGUCUGACCAUUAAAGCUCCCUUGCGGGUACUCUAGACCUUACAGCUUUGGGGUGGGGAUGGGGGAAAGGAGAAAUGAAAUCAGACUCUCAGGCCUCCCAAAAGAAUGCUCGCCCUUGGUUUUUGGAAAGAGUCUUAAAAUUGUAGGAGAUCACUCCCUUGAAAGAUAGUCUAGUUGUUCUUGCCAGUGACAUCGCUAACAAACACGUUACAACAUAGUUUGGGGGGGAGGGGAGGGCUGCAAGAAACAGAAAAAGAAACUAAUUCCGUGGAUUAACCCAAACCCCUCUCACUUCCAAAGGGCGUUCCAGCAAAACCAGACGCCACUCCCCAAGCUUCUCUUUAAGUCUACGCACCCGAGCCACCUGCUCUGUCCUUCCCCAGCACGGACUCUAAACUUUCUGCCCCUCACGGCCCCCCGGCCGUGGAACUCCUCCCGGCACCCCAGGCUCCGCUUACGGAGAGCCUCGAGGCCGAACACCGGCAGGACGACCCAGAGCGAGGGUCCGCGGCUCGCGUUCUCCCCCACGGCUGCCCGUACCUGUCCAGCAUCUGCUGUAGGGCUUGGUCCGGCAUCUUCCGCGGAGCCGGCGCACUCGGCCCUCCGCAGUGGACCUGGUCAGGGCCAGGCCCAGGGACAAUAGCACUGAGAGGCGGCGGAGUAGGCCUCAGCCCGGCGGCAGCCGCGAACCCGCCGCCCAGCCUCCUGGGGUGGCUCCGCGAGCCCGGAGGCGGCGGUGCGCGUCCAGCGGGCGUCCGGAGGAGGCGGUGGAGAGCGAGGAGGAGGAGCCUGGGGCGGGGAGGCGGCGAUCGCGGCCCGGGUUCCUGCCCGUCGGCCCGGGGUUCCGGUCCAUGGACCGCGGGCGCCGAGUUGCUGCCGGCGGAGGAGCUACCUCUGUGAGGUAAGAGUCACCGCCUCCGUGCGCGCCGGGGUCACGACGCAAGGCGGCCCAGAGCAGCCUGGGAGAUGUAGUCCUCGGACCGUCCCCGCUAGAGGCUGCACAGCCCGCCCCGACCACCGCCGCCGCGCCCGCCGCCGCCCGGCCGGCGCCCUCCCGUUUCCUUCCUCCAGGGGGAAAAAUGUCCUUCGGGCCGCUUUCCAGGAAGCAGCAGGAUGUGCCGCUCCACUGUCAGUAGCAACAAGGCACAGCUUUGGCGGGAGGAAAGAGCUGUUGGCUAAAACGAAUGCGUCUUUUGGACGACCUGUGGCGUUCUCCAGUGCUGUGAUUGGUAGGACGUCUGGUAGUUUUCCCUCGAUUAUGCCUCAUUUUUGCUGCAAGAUGUUUGAUUUUUCUUUAAAAUUAAAAUGUGUCUUUAUGCUUUUUUUAAGGUGGAAUUUUACAAUCAGCUUUUAAUUCUGUUUAAAGUUUGCUUCCUGAAUAUAUUUGAACUAGAGUGUACGUUGCCAGAAAAAAAAAAAAGAAAGAAAGAAAGAAAACAUGUGAUCAGAAGUUUAUUUGGCCUCCAAUUUCUGAAAGAUGCUGUUAUGAAAGGCUUUGGGAAUUUACAUGACUAAUUAUAAUUAAAGAUUCACCUUUUUCUCAUGAAAUGUAAAACAGGCCCCCUGGAGGGAAAUAAGAAUUUAGUUUACUCAGGGUAUCUGAUAGUCUAUUUAUUUUUUUAUCUGAUAGUUUAAAUUCCUAUUUAUUACUCCUCCUACUGGGUAAGACUUCCCUUUAUUUAUCUGUUAAGCAGUUGUGCGCCACAAGAAGAUGGAUAUAUAUACAUCCUAAUAUAAAAGAUAGAAUUUGAUCAUAGCAUAUUGAUUAAAUAGGCUAGUGCAAGCUCCAUCUAGUUUUGAUUUACACUGAAAGCAGUUUUCACCUCAUUUUAUAAUUUCUAUUUUGAAUCCGAAAUUGGAAAGUAAUAUGAUACACUUCUGUUGAUAGAGUGCUGUGUGCAAAUUAACCUUAAUUUUUUUUAAAAGGAUUUUAUAUUAGGAUUUUUAUGAAAAGUAUUUCCUGGGUGUGUCAAAAAUCCUUUGGAAUAGCAAAAAAUGUAUAAUGUAUAUGUUAUUCAUCUUACGAGUGAUUAGCACCUGACCUAGCAAUUCCACUUCUUAUUUACCCGAGAGAAAUAAAAGCAUAUGUCUAGACAAAACUUGUAUACAAAUGUUCAUAGCAGCAUUAUUCCGAAUAGCCAAAAAGGUGGAAACAACCUGGGGCACCUGGGUGGCUCAGUCGGUUAAGCAUCUGCCUUCAGCUCAGGUCACUAUCCCAGGGUCAUGGAAUUGAGCCCCACGGCCCAACAACAGGGGGCUCCCCACUCCAGGGAGCCUGCUUCUCCCUCUCCAUCUCCCUCUCCUUCUGCCUGCUGCUUCCCCUGCUUGCAUGUGCAUGUAAGCUCUCUCUCUGUAAAAUAAAUAAAAUCUUUUAAGAUAAUCUCUAAAUAUUCAUAAACUAAUGAAAGGAUAAAUCAGAUGUGGUACAUCUAGACAAAAGAAUAUUAUUAGGUGAUAACAGGGAAUAAAGUUCUGAUACAUGCAACAAGAUGGAUAAGUCUUGAAAACAUGCUAAGUGAGAGGAGCCAGUCACAAAGCCACGUAUUUAUUGUAUGAUUCCGUUUAUAUUAAAUGUUAAGAAAAAGAUUCAUAGAGACAGAAAGUAGAUUAGUGAUUGCUAGGGCUGAGGGGGUAAGAAGAGAGUAAAGGGGAGAGAGAUUGCUAAUGAGUACAAGGUUUCUUUUUGGGGUAAAAAAAAUGUUCCAGAAUUAGAGUGGUAAUAGUUACACAAUAUGCAUUAUAUCUCAAUUUAAAAAAUAAUGUAAAAUAAAAUUAGAUUCUAGUGAUGGUGGCACAGCUCUUCUAAAAAAAAUUGAAUUUUACACUUAGUAUGAGUGAACUUUAUGGUAUGUAAAUCAUAUCUUGAUAAAGCUGUUAAAAAAGUAAUUAGCUCCAUAUGAAAUGUUCAUAAGGAC